rnacentral:tRNA from 1 species
CUGGUGCUGGUCGAGCGGUCCGGAUGGCGCUCGGCUUCACUCGCCAUGGCGGCGCUGCUCCUGGUGCUGGCGCUGCCGUUCCUGAUGGCAGCGCCGGCC